GGCCGCCCUUGGCGGCGGGGCAGCCCCCGGGCUCCCAGCUCACCCCCCUGCGAGUGAGGGCACCUGAGGGGAAGGGCCGCCUCCCCUUCGGCCCCGGCUUGGAAGGGCUCCGACACAUAACCUGAGACGUCCCCUCUGGAAAGGGCCCGUCAGCCUGCCGCUCAGCUUAAAACCAACCAACCAAAAAAACACCUGGUGAAAAAAUAAGUAGACUGACAACCUGGGCCAGGAGGGACAUGGAACAUGAGAUACAGAAGACUAAAAACUGGGACUCAACCGAAGGCUGCAGGAAUAGGAUAUUACAACAGGUCAUACGCUCACAGGUGCAAAAAUCAACAUAAAAUCUCCACACAUCUGCAACUUUCAGAAUUAGAGGUGGCCCCAAGAGAAGCUGGCUUUCUGGCUACAUUCAUCCCUUAGACUUGGAAGAGAAUUUGGAUGCAGAGCAAUGCAUAAUGAUCACAUAUUUCUGAUGAGUUCAACAGUGUUUUAAAGACUUCAGAAAGGUUCAUUUG